GUCACACGGACAAUCCAUUUCUCUCACAGCCCCCACCCACUAUUGCCCGGGCGAGUUCAUUAAAAAUACACUGAAUUAUUGAAAAAAAAUGGGGGGUAGAAUGUAGCUAUUUAUUAAAUGACAUGAGGAAAACUUGCCCUCUCCUUGGGGUAAAAAAAAAAAGCAUAAAAUAAGAAAACUUGUUGGUCAACACUGCUUCAUUACAAAAAAAAAAAAAAAAAAAAAAAAAAAACAUACACUGCAAACAAAAAUGUAUACGUCUUAGAAAUACGAGGAAAUAAUUAUGAACAUUUUAAGUAAAUGCACGGUUGAUGGAAUUUUUCAGUAAUGGUUAAAUACAAUCAAACAAAAUAAUAAUAAUUAACAAAAAAAAAUUGGUCAACAUUGCUCAGGUGCAAUCAUUUAAAAAUAAAUGGCCAUCAUUAAAAAAAAACGUUUAAAUUAAUAAAAAGCAAUGAAUAAAAUGAACGAAAACUAUAUAAUACAGUACAUUAAAGAUUAAUACAAAUAUUUUCCAUGACAAGGCCAAUUUUCAUAGCUUUUUAUCCCACACACACUUCUUUCACCAAGAACGUAAAUGACAUUGACAACCACAAUAAUAUAUAUUGCAGAUAAAUAAAAUUACAAGAAAAUGUGUAAAGAUGACAUGCUUAAUAAAUAUAACAUAAGUCAAAUGUAUCAAUAAGAUAUUCAUACAAAUACCUGAAUAUAGCAAUUUCUCUAAUUUGUUACCCAUACCAACAAUUUCCAAUUAAUAAACAAGAAAAUAUAUGAACCAUUAGAGUCAUACAAUACAAAAAAACAUAACAGGGCAAACCGACUAAAACUUAAUGUUUCAAUGUUUCAUGUUUGAUGAGUUCAGGUAGUCCUUCCAUUUCAGCAGUUCCCCUUGCUACCACACGGUGGCACCCUUCAAAACCACCAAAAGUAGUCCCAAAAAAAUGUUGGUGAGAAUUAUACAUGCAUUUAAACCACAAUCAUAAAUGUUGCAGCUUUUAUUAUUAUUUUUUUUUUUUAUGCUGCAGUAUAAAAGGCAGUACAUUAGUCAUGUUGUAAUACAGUACGUGAACAUUCAGUCAUAAUGAUUUGUAGUGGAGCUUCUAAAGCAUCUUAACAAAGGGGAGUGUUCAAGCCAAAAAGAAUGCACCACAACCUGUUUGGCCCUAUUUCGCUUUUAAUUGUUUUUAAAAAAAUUUUUUUAAGAAGCUCCUUUACAAAAGAGUAUAAUUAAAUGAGUCUAAUAAGGAGCAGACAUGUUGAAGUCACAGUGGAUUUAAGAGGACAUCGCAUACUUCAACUAUGCUCAAGUAGGUCACACGGUGAUGGGCGGCUCCUCCUCCAAAGGCUUCAUGCUCCGGCAGAGGUCGUCACUCAUGGGGGGAGCUCUGGCUCCGCUCAGGAGGGCCAUGCGCAUUAGGAAGCGCAAGAAGAUGAUGAAGCCGCUGUACGACCCGAAAACGCACAGGGUCCCGUCACAACAAAACAGAUUCCGGGUGCCGGGUAGCUGAAGACUGUCCGGAGGACUCACCGGGAGGAAGUCGGUGGAGGAUAAAAGGAAAGAAGCAGGAGGGAGGGGGGACAGGAGGAAAUAUUAAGCGCAAGCAAGCGAGUAAAUAAGAGGACGUGACGACGAAACCACCAAGAGGAAGACGCCUCAUGUUGACCUAAACAAAAGGACAUGUGACAUCACUGGAAUGGAAAGAAAUUUAAUGACAUCACAGUCAGUCAUGUUUUAAAAAACAAAACAAAAUAAAACAAAAAUGUACACAGAAUGAUCCCAAUCAGUUUCCGGAAGUGCCCUAAAUGCUGCACUGUACAGACUGUAUUUACAUCCUCAAUGUCGUCAUAAAUACUUUGAACUA